UUCUGUGGUCACAUGAAGCUCGGCUGAGUCUGAAGGGGGCGCUCUGCAGAGAAGGCAAGCUGCUGCUGGAGGCCGCAGUGACCACGCCCUACUCUCCGGUCAAGGUCCUCACCUCUCAGCUGGAAAGCUGCGUUAGUUUUCCGGCUGUUCUCCCCAGCUUCCUUUCUUGCCUCUCCUGUAAUCCAUUUUCCACGCUGCAGACAGCGCUCUUUGCAAAAUGGAAAUCCGAAGCCAAUUCUAGAGACAGAAGGCCAAGACCAAGUUGCUGACAGGCUUGGUGUCUGAUGAAGGCCAGUUCACAGCUGACACUGUCCAGAUGUCUUCACUUUGCAGAAGGGCUAGUGGCCUUGCUUUCCCAAGCCCAUUUCUAAGGCACUAAUGCAUCCUGAGAGCAGCGUCUCGGCCUCAUCGCUCCUAACUAAAGCCCCCACCUCUUGUGCUACUACAGUUAGGACCAGCGUCAACACGAAUUUGGAGGACACAGUCAAAGCGCAGCAAACACUGAUGAAAAGAUUGGACAGGGUUUCUCAACACAUGCUGGAGAGGUUGUGGAGAAAGGGGAACCCUCCUCCAUUGCUGAAGGGAAUGUAAACUUGUACAACCACUCUGGAAAUCAAUCUGGCACUUUCUCAGACAAUUAGGAAUAGUGCUUCCUCAAGAUCCAGCUAUACCACUCCUAGGCAUAUAUCCAAAAGAAGCUCAAGUACACAACAAGGACAUUUGCUCAACCAUGUUUGUAGCAGCUUUAUUCGUAAUAGCCAGAACCUGCAAACAACCCAGAUGUCCCUCAAUGGAGGAAUGGAUACAGAAAUUGUGGUACUUUUACACAAUGGAACACUACUCAGCAAUUAAAAAUGAGGAAAUCAUGAAACUUGCAGGCAAAUAGUGGGACCUAGAAGUGAUCAUCCUGAGUGAGGUAUCCCAAAAGCAGAAAGACACACAUGGUAUAUACUCACUUACGUAGACCUAUAAGAUAGGAUAAAUAUACUGAAAUCUAUUCACCUAAAGGAGAUAAACAAGAAGGAGGACCCAGGGUAAGAUGAUCAAUCCUCACUUAGAAAGACAAAUGGGAUGGACAUUGGAUGUAAGAGCAAACAAGUAACAGGACAGGAGCCUACCACAGAGGGCCUCUGAAAGACUCUACCUAGCGGUGUAUCAAAGCAGAUACUAAGACUCAUAACCAAACCUCCGGUAGGAUGCAAGGAACCAAAAAAAAAAAAAAAAAAAAAAAAAGGAGGGGCAGAGUUAAUACGACCUGGAGAAAACAGGAGUUCCACAAGGACCAAAUAUAUCUGGGCACAGGCGUCUUUUAUGAGACUGUUUCUCCAAACAAGGACCAUGUAUGGAUGCAACCUAGAGCCCCUGCUCAGAUGUAGCCCAUGGCAGCUCAGUGUCCAAGUGGGUACCCUAAUAAGGGAACAGGGACUGUUUCUGAUGUGAACUCGAUGGCAUGCUCUUUGACCUCCCCCUGUCCCCCAGGGAGAAGCAGCCUUGCUAGACCACAGAGAAGGACUUUGCAGCCAGUCCUGAAGACACCUGAUAAACUAGUAUCAUAUGUAAGGGGAAGAGGUUCUCCCUUAUCAGUGGACUUGGAGAGGGGCAGGGAGGAGAUGAGAGUGGGAGGGUGGGAUUGGGAGGAAAAGAGGGAGUGGGGUACAGCAGGGAUACAAAGUUA